UUGACCUCAAAUCAGGUAGGACUACCCGCUGAACUUAAGCAUAUCAAUAAGCGCAGGAAAAGAAACUAACAAGGAUUCCCCUAGUAACUGCGAGUGAAGCGGGAAAAGCUCAAAUUUAAAAUCUGGUAGUCUUCGGCUGCCCGAGUUGUAAUCUAGAGAAGCAUUAUCUGCGCUGGACCGUGUACAAGUGUCCUGGAAUGGACCAUCAUAGAGGGUGAGAAUCCCGUCUUUGACACGGACUCCCAGGGCUUUGUGAUGUGCUCUCAAAGAGUCGAGUUGUUUGGGAAUGCAGCUCUAAAUGGGUGGUAAAUUCCAUCUAAAGCUAAAUAUUGGCGAGAGACCGAUAGCGAACAAGUACCGUGAGGGAAAGAUGAAAAGAACUUUGGAAAGAGAGUUAAACAGUACGUGAAAUUGCUGAAAGGGAAACGCUUGAAGUCAGUCGCGUUGGCUGGGGAUCAACCUUGCUUUUUGCUUGGCUUACUUCCCAGUUGACGGGUCAGCAUCAGUUUUGACCGGUGGAUAAAGGCUAGGGGAAUGUGGCACCCUCGGGUGUGUUAUAGCCCUUGGUCAUAUGCAUUGGUUGGGACUGAGGAACUCAGCACUUGUGCUUAGGAUGCUGGCAUAAUGGCUUUAAGCGACCCGUCUUGAAACACGGACCAAGGAGUCUAACAUGCCCGCGAGUGUUUGGGUGGUAAACCCG
rnacentral:rRNA from 1 species